UGCCAGCAGCCGCGGUAAUAUGGAGGGGGUUAGCGUUGUUCGGAAUUACUGGGCGUAAAGCGCGCGUAGGCGGAUUAGUCAGUCAGAGGUGAAAUCCCAGGGCUCAACCCUGGAACUGCCUUUGAUACUGCUAGUCUUGAGUUCGAGAGAGGUGAGUGGAAUUCCGAGUGUAGAGGUGAAAUUCGUAGAUAUUCGGAGGAACACCAGUGGCGAAGGCGGCUCACUGGACCAAUACUGACGCUGAGAUGCGAAAGCGUGGGGAGCGAACGGGAUUAGAUA
rnacentral:rRNA from 1 species